rnacentral:rRNA from 1 species
CAGCCGCCACGGGAAUACGUAGGGUGCGAGCGUUAAUCGGAAUUACUGGGCGUAAAGCGUGCGCAGGCGGUUGUGUAAGACAGGUGUGAAAUCCCCGGGCUUAACCUGGGAACUGCGCUUGUGACUGCACAGCUAGAGUAUGGCAGAGGGGGGUGGAAUUCCACGUGUAGCAGUGAAAUGCGCAGAGAUGUGGAGGAACACCGAUGGCGAAGGCAGCCCCCUGGGCCAAUACUGACGCUCAUGCACGAAAGCGUGGGGAGCAAACAGGAUUAGAUACCCCCGUAGUCCCUGUCUCUUAUAC